GGGGGUAUAACUUAGUGGUGGAGCAUUCAACUGCAGAUCGAGAGGUCCCCGGUUCAAACCCGGGUGCUCCCU
rnacentral:tRNA from 1 species